rnacentral:SRP_RNA from 1 species
GCCAGGCGUAGUGGCGUGCGCCUGUAGUCCCAGCUACUUGGGAGGCUGGGGCAGGAGAAUCACUUGAACCCAGGAGGCGGAGGCUGCAGUGAGCCGAGACUGUGCCACUGUAUUCCAGCCUGGGCAACAGAGUUAGACCCUGCCUCAA